UACGAAGGGUGCAAGCGUUAAUCGGAAUUACUGGGCGUAAAGCGCGCGCAGGCGGUCCUUUAAGUCUGAUGUGAAAGCCCACGGCUCAACCGUGGAAGGUCAUUGGAAACUGGAGGACUUGAGUACAGAAGAGGAAAGCGGAAUUCCACGUGUAGCGGUGAAAUGCGUAGAGAUGUGGAGGAACACCAGUGGCGAAGGCGGCUUUCUGGUCUGUAACUGACGCUGAGGCGCGAAAGCGUGGGGAGCAAACAGG
rnacentral:rRNA from 1 species